rnacentral:rRNA from 1 species
UACAGAGGUCUCAAGCGUUGUUCGGAUUCAUUGGGCGUAAAGGGUGCGUAGGUGGCGCGCUAAGUCAGGUGUGAAAUUUCGGAGCUUAACUCCGAAACUGCAUUUGAUACUGGCGUGCUUGAGGACUGGAGAGGAGACUGGAAUUCAUGGUGUAGCAGUGAAAUGCGUAGAGAUCAUGAGGAAGACCAGUGGCGAAGGCGGGUCUCUGGACAGUUCCUGACGCUGAGGCACGAAGGUCAGGGAGCAAACGGG